ensembl:lncRNA
CAGCAAUGGAAGACUUACCAAAAUGCAGGAGCUGAGCCCAGACACUCGACCUGCCAAUACAACUGUGACAUUGAUCUACAGACAAAAGAGUGACCAAUACCCUGAUGGCCAUUAUGAUGUGCACAUCAAUAACCAGACAGUGAUUAUAGAGAGUGAGGGCAAGAGCUGUUUGUUUCAUGCUUUGGCACGGGGUAUGAAACCAGAAGGCAGCUCUGCCGAGAUCGCUUUGAAAGCAGACUGCCUUCGAUCUGUGGAGGCUGAUGCUCUCCUCAGUAACCCAGGCCAAUGGGAGCCUUUCCUCAAGCACAAAGAGUUGACUGAAUCAAUCAGGGGAGGGGACUGGUACGUGGCAGAAGUAGCUGCACCCAAAAAGGCCAUAGAAGAAAGCAAAAGGUUACACCAGGAAGAGUUUGGAAAAGUAGAGUUAUACCAAGAAUGGCAAAAAUAUACAAAGAAAAACAAGGAACACAAUCCUCAGCGUCCUCUACUGAACAGUAACAACAACUGAGAACAAGACUGGUGAACAAUCAAACAAUUCUUCCGCCUGUCUGAUCAUCAUCAAGAGACCUCUCUAUUAUGAUAUGAUACUUUUAAUUCAGUUUUUUUUUUACUUUAUUGAAGACAAAAAUACAAAAAACCACACACAUUUACCUCAAUUUGGACAUUGAGGCAAUUUUUCAAUUUAGUUUUAAUUUAGAUCUUUUGAUUCUGUAGUAAAACAUACAUAUUUAAUACAGGUAAGACGGCAUAAGAAUCAUACAUACUGUUAGAAAUCCUUAGUCCUAAAUGCUGUUUAGGAUUAGGUAAGGUAGGGCCGUUUGAUUUCUUUCUAAAAGAUUAUUUUCAGACUUCAAACAAAUUUUGACAUGAUCAGAAAUCAGUAAAGUAUAAAGGUCAAAUAUUCAAUUCUAAGGUAUUUCCAGACACAAUAGCAAAGGAUAGCAUAUUUUAGUCGACUGCAUUAUUAAUCAGUCAGGAAAAAAGAAAGGUUAGCCUGUCUACAUGUCCUUCUGUUGUCAGUUUCCAAGUAUAUUCCCAGUUACUGCCCUAUAGUGUAACUCUAUCUAAUAUGUAAUCUUUUUUCAACAAAAAAGUCAUUUAUUUUCAAUGCAAUUUGAUUAUUACAUUGAUUAUAUUGUUUUGCUUAUUUACAAAACCAAUUCCAAGUAUUUGGGAUUCUGUGUAAAAUGGAAAUAGAAACCAAAUACAAUGAUUUGCAGAUAUUAUAAGUUCAUAUAUCUACAUUUCAGCCUUGUGAAUGCUGCCAAUUCCAUUAUUGCUGCCUAAUGGGGGAAAGAUAUCCAAUUGUGAUUUUUUGCUUUGAUCACUGUACAAUUUUUUUUCCAGACUCUGAAUUUUUUAAUGAUGUUGGCAUAUCUUUCUAAUUUUGGACAUAGUUAUAUUGUUCUGAAAUAGUUCCAUAAUUUAAAGGCAGUUUCUUGCAGAUUGGUGAACCUCUACCCAUCUUAACUUCUGAGAUUUUCUUUUUUUUUAAUACCCGGUCAUGUUAGUGACCUGUUGUCAAUUCAUAUAAUUAGUUCCAAAAUGUUGCUCCAGUUGUUUUAAGUUUAGUACCACCCUCUUGUUGUUCUUUCCCAACCUUUUUGAGACAUGUUGCUACUAUUAAAUUCAAAAUGAGCUAAUAUUUUUCAUAAAAUUCUGAACUAUGUCUCAGUUUAAACAUUUAAUAUAUUUUUACAUUUUAUUAAGACCAUUGCUUUCUUUUUGUAUUUAAUUUUCUAGCUUUUUAAAAAAAAAUGGUUUGUAAUCUGAUGUAUCUCUUCUGUGUGCAAGACUACUUAAUUAAUUUGAUUGUUCAAUAACAUAUAAUCAAACAAAAGUAUUAAUCAAUUGACUUAUAUGGAAUUGUUUAUAUAUGUGUCAACCAAUAAAUGGAAAUUAAGUAAUGAUGUAAUAACAAGAGAUGAUGUAAUGUUCUUUAUCAGCAUCAGGCAUUAUCAUUAAAGUGUUUCAAAU